AGAUCCGCAGAUCCUUUAUUUUUCCACAGAUCUCCUAUUUUCUAGCGAAUCAACAUUCGACGAUCUAAUAUUCCUUAGUAAACUUACAUAUCCUCUAUUUUCAGUGGAUUAAUACUUGAAGAUCCUCUAUUUUCUAAUAAAUCUGUAACUCCUCUCCACUGCUUGUCUUCUCAUCUUUAGAUCUUUGAUCGUCUCUCCUCACUGUUGUUCGGCCCCUUUCUCUCUAUCUCUAGUAUUAUUUAUUGUCUCCGGCUCCUUCACCAUCCAGUUCGAGGUCUCUUCCUCUUCUUCCAUGGUGCAUCCAUCUAUGAGGAUUAUCGACCUUUGGUUUCCUCCCUGAGCUCUAUUCUCGCUGCAACUGUUAUCUCUUACGUGUCUCCUCAUUGUCGCAUUAUCAGACAAGUCGAUCAGCCAAUUGCUCCUCUUUCAUGGUACCUCUAUCUAUGAGGAUCGUCGAUCUUCGGUUGCCUUUUCUCCGAAUUCUGUUUUUGCUGCAACUGUCAUCUUCUAUGUAUCUUUUUGUUGCUACAUCAUCAGAUAAAUCAAUCAGCCAAAUCAGCAGACACAUCAGUCGGACAUAUCGAUAGACAUAGUUUGCUAUGUUAGUCAGUUAUGUCGGUGGAUAUAUUAGCCUACUGAUCAGUUAGCUAUGUCGGCAUUGCCAAAUAUAUCAGUUUGUUGCAUUAGCUUCUUGAUCCGUGGCAUCAGUUUCUAAGCUGCUAUAUCAGCUUCUAUUCUACCAUAUUAAAUUAUGUAUUGUCACAUUAGCUUGACACAUCAAUUUGUCAUAUCAUCUUUUAAGUUAUUAUGUCAACUUCUAAUCAGCUACAUCAUCUUUUGAGCUGCUAUAACAACUUGCGUUCUACCACAUCAGGNNNNNNNNNNNNNNNNNNNNNNNNAAUCUACCACCUUGUCAGC
rnacentral:lncRNA from 1 species